ACUGGGUUCUGUGACGGGAGCUUGUAAGUCAGUGUCUUGACAGUUUAGUUUGGGGAAUGCUUGCUAUUCAGACCAACAGUUGACUACUAGGUGUUGUUGACCGAGCGUCCGUGCCAAGCGUUGUGUCGAUAGGCUUAUCUUAGAGGAAUCUUCGAUAAACCGGUCGUGGCUUCGGCCUCUAAAGAGAGAUGGAUGGCUCAGGACCGAAAGGUAGCAGGCAAAAGUUUCCGCGCGAUGACAGUGGUCGGAUGGCGCACGCGAGGCAUUUAGCACCAACUGCUGGAUUUAUAUAGCAUCACCCACAUCUUUU
rfam:Rhabditophanes sp. KR3021 genome assembly, scaffold: RSKR_contig0000008